AUGAUACUGUAAUAAUCAAUGCUGUUGAAAUUCCAGUCUGUGGCAAAGAUCAAGUUGUCAGACCCAGAGGAUUGAUGUGGCUCUUCUUAGUCGUGAACAUUAUCCAGAUAUUGUUUUUGAAUUGAUUGGAGGAAAAGGUUUUGGUACUGUGGUGUACUUCAGGUGGAGUCAUGAUGACUGUCGUCACCUAUUUGCCAUACCUCUGCCAUUUGUAGCAAGAAGUAUCGAGGUUGAAGGAACACAAUUUCAUGUGUUGAAAGAUGUGAUUGAUUUAUCAAAAUCAUCAAAUUUUUAUAGAAUAAGAAAAGAAAAUUUCAUUGGAGGUUUUCUUUUCUGGUUACAAACGAGAAAAGAGCAAAGAAGUGCUUGUCAAGUUACUCCUGCUGUACCAUUUAACUACAGUGAUGUGUUUGCUCAACAAGAGUUAGAAGCCUAUGUAGAUGCGAAUUGGUAUCACGAAAUAUGCAAGGU